CUAGGAAGGAUGAACUAGUAAGUUGCAGAGCUUUCUAACAGUUUGUGAGUGAACCGGAAGAAGGGACGUUCGAGCGUGACUGUCGAAAUACAUAUUCUAUAGCUGACAGUACAGAAAAUGUUGAUUUCUCGACGUUGAUACCACCCAUCUGAGAAUCUAUAACUAAGACAUUCCUGAAUUGCAGGAAGCUUGAAGUUACUACACCCUAGUCACAGCUGUUGUUCUUCCUUACUCCAGUGCCGGACCCAAACCACCGCCAUUCGAAGAAAUACUGAGACAAAACGGUUUCAGCCGCCACGACUCCAACGAUAAAUGGCGUUCCACCGUUUCUUCUCACCUUAAUAGUAUCUUCACGACGAAUUGAGUCUCUCGUGUUGAUGAAAUGAACGGAAUUAAUUGGUUACGAACUAGU